AAUAAAAUGGCUGAGUUAUAAGUGAUAAAUUGUAAAUUUAUUUACGGGAAUAUUUCCCUUUUAUUA
rnacentral:tRNA from 1 species